rnacentral:rRNA from 1 species
GACGAACGCUGGCGGCGUGCUUAACACAUGCAAGUCGAACGGAAAGGCCCUGCUUUUGUGGGGUGCUCGAGUGGCGAACGGGUGGGUAACACGUGAGUAACCUGCCCUUGACUUUGGGAUAACUUCAGGAAACUGGGGCUAAUACCGGAUAGGAGCUCCUGCUGCAUGGUGGGGGUUGGAAAGUUUCGGCGGUUGGGGAUGGACUCGCGGCUUAUCAGCUUGUUGGUGGGGUAGUGGCUUACCAAGGCUUUGACGGGUAGCCGGCCUGAGAGGGUGACCGGCCACAUUGGGACUGAGAUACGGCCCAGACUCCUACGGGAGGCAGCAGUGGGGAAUAUUGCACAAUGGGCGGAAGCCUGAUGCAGCAACGCCGCGUGCGGGAUGACGGCCUUCGGGUUGUAAACCGCUUUCGCCUGUGACGAAGCGUGAGUGACGGUAAUGGGUAAAGAAGCACCGGCUAACUACGUGCCAGCAGCCGCGGUGAUACGUAGGGUGCGAGCGUUGUCCGGAUUUAUUGGGCGUAAAGGGCUCGUAGGUGGUUGAUCGCGUCGGAAGUGUAAUCUUGGGGCUUAACCCUGAGCGUGCUUUCGAUACGGGUUGACUUGAGGAAGGUAGGGGAGAAUGGAAUUCCUGGUGGAGCGGUGGAAUGCGCAGAUAUCAGGAGGAACACCAGUGGCGAAGGCGGUUCUCUGGGCCUUUCCUGACGCUGAGGAGCGAAAGCGUGGGGAGCGAACAGGCUUAGAUACCCUGGUAGUCCACGCUGUAAACGGUGGGUACUAGGUGUGGGGUCCAUUCCACGGGUUCCGUGCCGUAGCUAACGCUUUAAGUACCCCGCCUGGGGAGUACGGCCGCAAGGCUAAAACUCAAAGGAAUUGACGGGGCCCCGCACAAGCGGCGGAGCAUGCGGAUUAAUUCGAUGCAACGCGUAGAACCUUACCUGGGUUUGACAUGGAUCGGGAGUGCUCAGAGAUGGGUGUGCCUCUUUUGGGGUCGGUUCACAGGUGGUGCAUGGCUGUCGUCAGCUCGUGUCGUGAGAUGUUGGGUUAAGUCCCGCAACGAGCGCAACCCUUGUUCACUGUUGCCAGCACGUUAUGGUGGGGACUCAGUGGAGACCGCCGGGGUCAACUCGGAGGAAGGUGGGGAUGACGUCAAGUCAUCAUGCCCCUUAUGUCCAGGGCUUCACGCAUGCUACAAUGGCUGGUACAGAGAGUGGCGAGCCUGUGAGGGUGAGCGAAUCUCGGAAAGCCGGUCUCAGUUCGGAUUGGGGUCUGCAACUCGACCUCAUGAAGUCGGAGUCGCUAGUAAUCGCAGAUCAGCAACGCUGCGGUGAAUACGUUCCCGGG